rnacentral:lncRNA from 1 species
AAAGUGCUAGGAUUACGGGCGUGAGCCACCACGCCUGGCCAAUUAAAAUUUUAAGCAUCAUUCACCUCUCAAUUCUUUGUGUUACGGUAGUAGCAUAAAUCAUCAUACAUGGAACAUUUACCUCUUCCUCCCAUUCCACUGCUACUGCGAACUGGUCCUGAAGGUGCAGAUCUCUUAGGAGGAGGACCCCCACUUCUUGGUGGUGGUCCUCUUUUUACUGGGAGUGGUCCCCUGGUUCCUCCACUUCCUCCUCUUCCACCUCUAAGACCUCUUGGAGGGCCUCUACUUCUUGGAGGUGGAGGCGGUCCACGUCUACCACUUUCAAA